UUUAAAAUGUGCGGUGUCCCUCAUCUAUCUAAAAUGUGCUAACGAUGCCUUUCCGUUAACUUCAGCUAAGUUUCUUGAGCUUGUACAAUCGAGACAAUAUCCACUUGAUCGGUCUCGGCGAUGCCCGCUUCGAUAUUAUGUGUCAAAUGAUGGGGGUGACGAGAAAGGAUUUGGGAACCCCAGUACUGGAAGUUAUAAUGACAAGUCGAUGCCCAAUUUCUACUCUUCCCAGAUCUAUGGAAAAUGGCAACUCUAUUUCAAAAAAAAAAAACCCAUUUGGGAUAUAUGAAGCUGCUUCUCUUUUGAAUUUGAUAUGAAUAUUAGUCAGUUUGAUUGAGCAUUAGAAUUAUAGCCUUCAGAAGCUGCUGCUAUUGGUAGCUUUACUAGCUUAUAAUUUACAUGUUCUGUAAUGAGAUGCAAUUUUAUUGUUUUUCAAUCA